rnacentral:rRNA from 1 species
CACGGGGGGAGCAAGCGUUGUUCGGAAUCACUGGGCGUAAAGGGUGUCUAGGCGGUCAGGUAAGUGAGAUGUGAAAUGCCCCGGCUUACCCGGGGACCGGCAUCUCAUACUGUCUGGCUUGAGUAUGGGAGAGGAUGAGGGAAUUCCUGGUGUAGCGGUGAAAUGCGUAGAUAUCAGGAGGAACAUCGGUGGCGAAAGCGCUCAUCUGGCCCAAUACUGACGCUGAAGCACGAAAGCUAGGGGAGCAAACGGG